GGAAUAUUGGACAAUGGGCGAAAGCCUGAUCCAGCAAUGCCGCGUGAGUGAUGAAGGCCUUAGGGUUGUAAAGCUCUUUUACCAGGGAUGAUAAUGACAGUACCUGGAGAAUAAGCUCCGGCUAACUCCGUGCCAGCAGCCGCGGUAAUACGGAGGGAGCUAGCGUUGUUCGGAAUUACUGGGCAUAAAGCGCGCGUAGGCGGUUACUCAAGUCAGAGGUGAAAGCCCGGGGCUCAACCCCGGAACUGCCUUUGAAACUAGGUAGCUAGAAUCUUGGAGAGGUCAGUGGAAUUCCGAGUGUAGAGGUGAAAUUCGUAGAUAUUCGGAAGAACACCAGUGGCGAAGGCGACUGACUGGACAAGUAUUGACGCUGAGGUGCGAAAGCGUGGGGAGCAAACAGGAUUAGAUACCCUUG
rnacentral:rRNA from 1 species